UCCGGUUUGUCACCGGCAGUCUCCUAUGAGCUCCGAAGAGGGGCCCGGCUUUCACCGGGCUUUCCCAUGCAUGUCAAGCCUAGGUAAGGUUCUUCGCGUUGCGUCGAAUUAAACCACAUGCUCCACCGCUUGUGCGGGCCCCCGUCAAUUCCUUUGAGUUUCAGCCUUGCGGCCGUACUCCCCAGGCGGGGCACUUAAUGCGUUAGCGCCGGCACUCAGGGGGUCGCUCCCCCAAGCACCUAGUGCCCAUCGUUUACGGCGUGGACUAC
rnacentral:misc_RNA from 1 species